AGAGCGAACGCUGGCGGCAGGCCUAACACAUGCAAGUCGAGCGCCCGUAGCAAUACGGGAGCGGCAGACGGGAUAGUAACACGUGGGAACGCGCCCUUCGGUUCGGAAUAACUCAGGGAAACUUGAGCUAAUACCGGAUACGCCCUUACGGGGAAAGAUUUAUUGCCGAAGGAACGGCCCGCGUCCGAUUAGCUAGUUGGUGAGGUAAUGGCUCACCAAGGCGACGAUCGGUAGCUGGUCUGAGAGGAUGACCAGCAUCACUGGGACUGAGACACGGCCCAGACUCCUACGGGAGGCAGCAGUGGGGAAUAUGGACAAUGGGCGCAAGCCUGAUCCAGCCAUGCCGCGUGGAUGAUGAAGGCCUUAGGGUUGUAAAAGUCCUUUUAACGGGGAAGAUAAUGACGGUACCCGUAGAAUAAGCCCCGGCUAAACUUCGUGCCAGCAGCCGC
rnacentral:rRNA from 1 species